UACAGAGGGUGCUAGCGUUGUUCGGAAUCAUUGGGCGUAAAGGGCGUGUAGGCGGUUUGUUAAGUCAUGUGUGAAAUCCCUCGGCUCAACCGGGGAACGACGCAUGAAACUGGCAAGCUAGAGUACCAAAGAGGGGGGUGGAAUUCCCGGUGUAGCGGUGAAAUGCGUAGAUAUCCGGAGGAACACCAGUGGCGAAAGCGGCCACCUGGACUGCACCUGACGCUGACACGCGAAAGCUAGGGGAGCGAACGGG
rnacentral:rRNA from 1 species